UCCACUUCAUGAGCCUUGACAUCUCAAAGCGCCGAAUCCUAGUAAAUCGGCGCUAGGGUUUUCAUUUUUUUAGUGAAUGACAUAAGGGGCCUACUUGUUAGAAUGAAUAAGGAUAUGGGUAUGCGGGUACGUGGGUAUGGUAUUUCCUUCCCUUACCUGUACCCGACUUCACGAUGGGUAUAUUUAUUUCUCAUUUAUAAACCGAUGGGUAAUUAUUUUUCCAAAGUCCUUAUCCUAAUAGGGUUUUUACCCGUCGGGUUCGCGGGCAAUGGGUACCCAUUGCCAUGUUGAAGCCAUCGGGGCAUACAUCUUCAUUGCUUCUAGUGGGCCUCCCUAAUAGAGGCGAAUGUCUUCUUUGAACCAGAGUCAACUAUAGCGGGACACUCGACCAUUGAGAGGAUGUGCAUGCUUCAAGAAGAAGAAUGAUGGCAGCUGUCCAGAAAAAUUAGAAGUGCAACCAUUCCUCUUCGGAGAUGGACGACGAUGAAGAUGAUGAUGGUGAUGGAGAGGAAAGGGUGCCUAGAAGUCCCACUCCGACGUCUAGCAGGUCAGCCCGACAAGAGUGAGAGAGGAAAUGAGGAGUUAAAGACAGAUGGAGAGGUGGAGGCGAUGAAAGAAAAACAUUGAUGUGUUGCUGAGGAUAAGGAAUGAGUAUAUAGAGAGAGGGAGCAAUAAAAGAUGGAGAUGGAGGAGAAGAACUAAAGAAGAUCCAAGAUAAGAGAGUGAGAUGAGAUGCUAUGCAAGAGAGCAGGCAAACGUCAGGAAGAGAUGGAGGCACGGCUCGAAAUUCAAGUGCGUUGGGCGACAAUUAAACGACUCAGGGGAAUCGUUUCAUCAUGUUGGAUGCGAACUCUACGGAUCCAUAGGCGUGAGAAUUUUGGAAGAAAAUGUGAAUGCCGAUCAUACGGUGUAGGGACCUUAGACGAGGGGACAAUGCACAUGUCGGAGAAGUUGAUGGUGCACAUGCUGACAACAUGUGAUCUGUACAUAUUGCCGGUUAAUGCUUUCAUUUAUGCAACUUUCUAAAACUUAUGUGCAUGUUUUCUUGAUGUGUUAAAUGUUUAAAUUUGAAGGCAAUCGAAGUGUUUGAACGAGAAAAAUAAUAAUUGAUGGCGACUCUGAGUUUACGCGUCGUCCGGCUAGUCUCCAAAUGCAUAUGGAUCACAUAUGCAUUGUUGUGACUACAAAUAAUAUGGCAACUCUGCGAGAAUUUCUCUUUUUUUUUUGACCGGAUGCAAGAGUUGCUCUUAGAAUUGGUACCAUGCAUUAUAUAGUUCGUGGCGAUCUGUUUGGGCCUCCAAACUAUUAUCUUUUGUGGAAUUGGUUGCCAUUUAUUGAUAUACUAUUAUAGACGGGUUGCUUCCUUCUUCGCAAUUGCUUUCGGUGUUUUUCUUGCUGUCACAGAUAUAGAUAAUGACUUGGCUUCUUAUUACUGUAUUUGAACUAAACAAAUUAAUUAUGUGUACAAUAUCCGUGUCCUUCAGCCAUUUUUAAAGGGGAAUUUUGCUUCCAACUUUAAGAUGAACUCAACUAUGAAGCAUCAUGCAUUCUGUUAGGAUGCACUAAUAAUCGUCGUAAGCCAUGGAACUGUCUUAUACCAACUCAAUAUCGAUUAAUUGUAUGUUCCUAAAAUUUCUACCCUUGAGCAAAGAACCAAGAGCGAAAGCAACGAAUAUGAUCAACAUGAUAUUAUGAAAUAAUAUGGUGGUUCUGACUAAUCCAUUGUUCACUUGACAUACUCAGAUAUGCAACAUGCACUCCAUUUUAUUUUUGGUUAGUGAGAACGCUAGUACGCCACUUCCGAAAGAAGCUAAUGUAACCGCCUGGAAGAAGAAGAUAAUGAAUCUGCUCGACAAGGAAGCACGCAAUCUCCAAAACAGAAGCCACUCACCGUGAUUCAGGCUCUCCUUUCCUUGUAAUCUCCAGAAUAGAUGGGUUGCUUCCCUUGUUGUAAUUGCUUUUAGUGUUUUUGGUCACUAUAUUCGUACAUUGCAACGGGACAUAAAUAUACUGGCAUUGCAACAGGAUAAAAAUAUUCUAUUAUGUUAGCUUUUGAUUUAUCAGUCCAUAUUAAUGUGAUUGUGUAAAUAUUUCUUUUGCCAAAUCCUGUUCGUGAUUUACCUUAUAGUUUGAUGAGAAAUUCAAUAAGUAAAUUAAAGUAAAAUUGAAUAAAAGUGAACUUGGUUCAGAAAGUAAGUAAAUUAAAGUGAUUGAUUAUCGUAGAUGGAAAUUCAGUAAGUAAAUUAAAAUGAACUUGGACGAAUGGAUGGUAAGAAAAAAAAAGUGAAAGAUGAAACUUUACAUUCUUUUUAAGCAGUAGAGAUAGAUAUAGACCAAUGAAUUGUUCUCUUAGCUUUGAGCUGUAUUUGAACAAGACAAAUUAAUUAUGUGUACAAGUUCAGUGUCGUUCAGCCAUGUUCAAAGGGAAUUUUAUAUCCAACUUUAAGAUGAAUUCAUCUAUGAAGCAUCAUGCUGUUACAAUUAUAAUGUGAUCAAAUGGUCAAAAUGUUAAUUACCACAAGUUAAAUGGGCCCAUUAAUCAAUUUCGGGAUUAAUACCAAUUAAAUUGUAAUUAACAAAUCGGGCCCGUGAUUGGGGGGCUGAAUUAACGCUAAUAUGGUUAAGGUCCCACGGUCAAAGUCAACCCAUUAUAUAAGGAGCAGACUUGCACAUACGCAUCAGUCCAUCGCAUUAGCCAUCGUCUAUUCCGAAAAUCAUUCCUUUUUCCAAUCAGGAGAGCACGGUUCAUUGAUGUGAAGACUUUCCAUUACUCCGGCGAGGUGCCGGAGACGUUGUUGUUCUUCGUCCUCUCUAGACCCGAGAUGGCAUCACCAAACAGAGCUUUGAACCCAUCAGUUAUUUCUGGGCUCCUGAACUCAAUUGAGCACCUCAAUGGGACUAACUUUCCUACCUGGAAGGAGCAGAUUUUGAUUAACCUUGGUGUCAUGGACCUUGAUUAUGCACUUAGGGAAAAAGCUCCAGUUCCUUUGUCCUUUGAUGAUGAAAACCUUGCUGAGAGAACUAAGAUUUAUGAGGCUAAUAAGGAGAAGUGGGAGCGCUCCAAUCGCUUGUCUAUCAUGAUCAUGAAAAGCACAAUUACUCUUGGGAUCAGGGGAGCAAUCCCUGAUUCUGAAUGUGCUAAGACUUAUCUAGCGUCGGUGGAGGAGCAAUUUAAAGGCUCAACAAAAGUCUACGCUAGUACGUUGAUCAUGAAAAUGCUCACCACUAAGUAUGAUGGUAAAAAGCGGCGUGAGAGAACAUAUCAUGACUAUGAAUGAUAUGGCCGCAAAAUUAAAGGGCAUGGACAUGGAGAUUUCUGAGGGCUUUCUGGUUCACUUCAUUAUGACUUCUCUCCCUAUGGAGUAUGGUCCCUUCAAGAUUAAUUAUAAUACUCAGAAGGAGAAGUGGACCAUGAGUGAGCUCACAUCUAUGUGCGUUCAAGAAGAAGAGCGGCUUAAGGUUGAAAGGAUAGAUUAUGCUCAUCUUACUUCCAUAAACUUAGGGAAAAGAAAGUCUCAGGGUGACGGGAAAACUAAGAAGAAGAUGAACUUCUCUAAUAUUGAUGCAAGCAAGCUAGGGAACUCUGGCACCAAGGACAUCGCUACAGAGCCUAAGGGUCCUAAGUGUCGUUUCUGCAAGGAAGAUGGGCAUGUCAUGAAAGAAUGUGAUGGCUUUAAGGCAUGGUUGCUAAGGGGAUUCCAUUUCGUGAGGACACUGAAAAAGAUGGAUCAAAGCCUUAGAUUUCCAAGUGGCAAGGAGACUGAUGAACAAGGAUUAGUAUUUCUCCUUAAGUAUUGGUGAUUGUUCAUCCUCCGUCUUAAUAAUACUCUUAUGUUCCUAGCAUGAGGGACCUUAUUUUGUUUCUCUAUGAUAUGAUGGAUUUGUUAUUUUGCGAACAAAUAUUGUGUUAUUAAGAGUUGUCAUGAUGGUUCUGGUUGUGUUAUCUCUUGUGAAUCCUUGAUGCAUAUUAUGAGUGCUCAUCGAAAUGAUGACACUAUUAUUUAAGCCAUAUUUCG